GGGGUGGCUUGUAGCUCAGUGGUAGAGAAUCUGCUUUGCAUGCAGAAGCUAUCAGGUUCGAACCUUGCCCUUUCCA